rnacentral:rRNA from 1 species
UACAGAGGUGGCAAGCGUUGUUCGGAAUUACUGGGCGUAAAGGGCGCGUAGGCGGCUUGGUCAGUCCCGUGUGAAAUCCCUCGGCUCAACUGAGGAACUGCACGGGAAACUGCCUGGCUUGAGUUCGGGAGAGGGAAGCGGAAUUCCGGGUGUAGCGGUGAAAUGCGAAGAUAUCCGGAGGAACACCGGUGGCGAAGGCGGCUUCCUGGACCGACACUGACGCUGAGGCGCGAAAGCUAGGGGAGCAAACGGG